AAAGUUUGGUUAGGACUCCUUCUAAGCAUAUUAGUUCCUUGAAGAUCAUGGCUCUGCUUCAUAAUGAUAGCCAUAAUGGGGAGGCGAGGAGAAGUUAUAAGCAUAUUGGGGUGUGGAGCCAUGAUAAUAUACAUCUUGGGGUGGGGAGGUGGGCUGAUAGCUAUGAUGAGGGGGGGAGGUGGAAUGGUAUACCUCAUGAGGUGGGGAGGGGGAACUGAGAUCACUAGUUGGGGCAUUGUCAGCAUAAGAUUGUUGUCUAUCAACUCUAACUUUAUCAACUCUGACCUCCACCAACUCCUCUUCCUCAAAUGUUCGGAAAAUUG
rnacentral:lncRNA from 1 species